rnacentral:tRNA from 1 species
AGCAUAGAAGUAAAAUAUUACACUUAGUUUCGACCUAAAAAUAGAGAAAUAAAUCUUCAUGUUUUA